UACGUAGGCAGCGAGCGUUGUUCGGAGUUACUGGGCGUAAAGAGUGCGUAGGCGGUUUUCUAAGUUUGGUGUGAAAUCUCCCGGCUUAACUGGGAGGGUGCGCCGAAAACUGGAAGGCUUGAGUAUGGGAGAGGUAAGCGGAAUUCCUGGUGUAGCGGUGAAAUGCGUAGAGAUCGGGAGGAACAUCAGUGGCGAAGGCGGCCAUCUGGGACAACACUGACGCUGAAGCACGAAAGCGUGGGGAGCAAACAGG
rnacentral:rRNA from 1 species